rnacentral:rRNA from 1 species
UACGUAGGUGGCAAGCGUUGUCCGGAAUCACUGGGCGUAAAGGGCGCGUAGGCGGCAGGCCAAGCGUGCGGUGAAAGUCCGGGGCUCAACCCCGGAUCUGCCGUGCGGACUGGUUUGCUAGAGCACUGUAGAGGCGAGUGGAAUUCCGGGUGUAGCGGUGGAAUGCGUAGAGAUCCGGAAGAACACCGGUGGCGAAGGCGGCUCGCUGGGCAGUGGCUGACGCUGAGGCGCGACAGCGUGGGGAGCAAACAGG